rnacentral:rRNA from 1 species
UACGGAGGGGGCUAGCGUUGUUCGGAAUUACUGGGCGUAAAGCGCACGUAGGCGGAUCAGCAAGUUAGGGGUGAAAUCCCGGGGCUCAACCACGGAACUGCCUUUAAAACUGUUGGUCUGGAGGUCGAGAGAGGUGAGUGGAAUUCCGAGUGUAGAGGUGAAAUUCGUAGAUAUUCGGAGGAACACCAGUGGCGAAGGCGGCUCACUGGCUCGAUACUGACGCUGAGGUGCGAAAGCGUGGGGAGCAAACAGG